rnacentral:rRNA from 1 species
CAAGUCGAGGGGCAGCAUGAACUUAGCUUGCUAAGUUUGAUGGCGACCGGCGCACGGGUGAGUAACACGUAUCCAACCUGCCGAUGACUCGGGGAUAGCCCGGCGAAAGUCGGAUUAAUACCCCAUAAAACAGGGGUCCCGCAUGGGAAUAUUUGUUAAAGAUUUAUCGGUAUAUGAUGGGGAUGCGUCCCAUUAGAUAGUCGGCGGGGUAACGGCCCACCUAGUCUUCGAUGGAUAGGGGUUCUGAGAGGAAGGUCCCCACAUUGGAACUGAGACACGGUCCAAACUCC